rnacentral:rRNA from 1 species
GAUGAACGCUGGCGGCGUGCCUAAUACAUGCAAGUCGAGCGAACGGACGAGAAGCUUGCUUCUCUGAUGUUAGCGGCGGACGGGUGAGUAACACGUGGAUAACCUACCUAUAAGACUGGGAUAACUUCGGGAAACCGGAGCUAAUACCGGAUAAUAUUUUGAACCGCAUGGUUCAAAAGUGAAAGACGGUCUUGCUGUCACUUCUAGAUGGAUCCGCGCUGCAUUGGCUAGUUGGUAAGGUAACGGCUUACCAAGGCAACGAUGCAUAGCCGACCUGAGAGGGUGAUCGGCCACACGGGAACUGAGACACGGUCCAUGCUCCUACGGGAGGCAGCAGUAGGGAAUCUUCCGCAAUGGGCGAAAGCCUGACGGAGCAACGCCGCGUGAGUGAUGAAGGUCUUCGGAUCGUAAAACUCUGUUAUUAGGGAAGAACAUAUGUGUAAGUAACUGUGCACAUCUUGACGGUACCUAAUCAGAAAGCCACGGCUAACUACGUG